rnacentral:rRNA from 1 species
ACGGGAGGCAUCAGUGGGGAAUAUUGGGCAAUGGGCGAAAGCCUGACCCAGCAACGCCGCGUGAAGGAAGAAGGUCCUCGGAUUGUAAACUUCUUUUAUGAGGGACGAAGGACGUGACGGUACCUCAUGAAUAAGCCACGGCUAACUACGUGCCAGCAGCCGCGGUAAUACGUAGGUGGCAAGCGUUAUCCGGAUUUACUGGGUGUAAAGGGCGCGUAGGCGGGGAUGCAAGUCAGAUGUGAAAUCUAUGGGCUUAACUCAUAAACUGCAUUUGAAACUGUAUCUCUUGAGUGCUGGAGAGGUAGACGGAAUUCCUAGUGUAGCGGUGAAAUGCGUAGAUAUUAGGAAGAACACCAGUGGCGAAGGCGGUCUACUGGGCUCUAACUGACGCUGAGGCUCGAAAGUGUGGGGAGCAAACAGGAUUAGAUACCCUGGUA